CCCGUUGGUGCCAUUACCAUUUCAUUUCUAAAAAAAGUUCAUCAGCUACCAAACACCCGCAAUGCAUGGAGAAGCAGAGACCAUUGCUGUGAUAAUCGAUUCAGCAGCAGAAGCAGCCAAUGAGUUACAGAAGCUCUCUUUGAUAAUCGGAUUGAAGAAGGUGGUCUUAGGGCAUCCUCUUCAUAUUCCCACGAAACCGACGACCAUGACCAUAGCAAUAACAAGGCCGUUCACACUUGCAAGACGAACUUCUUUUCCUAAAGAGAGUAUUAACAGGUGACAAACAUGAGGAAGUGGAGAGUCAAAACCGUUUGUUUGAUUGAAUGGGCAAUAACAAGGACACAUCAAGGGGGAUAAUGUCAGGAACCACGGAUCAAUUCUAGAUGGUAUACAAGCCAGACCUACUUUACAGUCAUAUUUGUUCGACUUCCUUACCUGCCUGGAAAUGGCUGAGCAUAAUAAAGUUAUUGCUAUGCAGGUAUUUGAAAUGAAAUCUAGUAGGAUAACACGUGCACUUGUGGGGUUUUUCGACCUCUUCUUUUUAUUUCUGUAUUAUCUCAUUAGGGUCCUUAGAUACUUGAAGCAAAGUUGAAUCAGAAUUGUGAGAACCUCACCUUUGAAGUCCUUGAUUAACAAUGGGAGUUGGGCACGCAAAAAAUGUUUGGAAUGGCACUGCAAGUGAUGAUCCUGGUCAUUUCUUAAGUAGCAAAGAACUCAUGGUUUACCGUAUCUGCUAUGAGAUGGCCUGUGAUUGAAUGUGCACUACUACAUGCUUACCAUUUUGUGGUGAUUUUAGUAAGUAAAUAUGGAGUGGAAGCAAUUGGUAGAACUUACGGAAAAUAUCAAGGCAUGUUAGCAUGCAGUGUUUCAUUAAUCUAGUGCAAGGAUACUCCCGACGAUGGAGUGGGGAUUUCCCAGUA